rnacentral:rRNA from 1 species
AGAGUUUGAUCAUGGCUCAGAUUGAACGCUGGCGGCAGGCCUAACACAUGCAAGUCGAGCGGUAGCACAGAGAGCUUGCUCUCGGGUGACGAGCGGCGGACGGGUGAGUAAUGUCUGGGAAACUGCCUGAUGGAGGGGGAUAACUACUGGAAACGGUAGCUAAUACCGCAUAACGUCGCAAGACCAAAGUGGGGGACCUUCGGGCCUCAUGCCAUCAGAUGUGCCCAGAUGGGAUUAGCUAGUAGGUGGGGUAAUGGCUCACCUAGGCGACGAUCCCUAGCUGGUCUGAGAGGAUGACCAGCCACACUGGAACUGAGACACGGUCCAGACUCCUACGGGAGGCAGCAGUGGGGAAUAUUGCACAAUGGGCGCAAGCCUGAUGCAGCCAUGCCGCGUGUGUGAAGAAGGCCUUCGGGUUGUAAAGCACUUUCAGCGGGGAGGAAGGCGNNNNNNNNNNNNNNNNNNNNNNNNNNNNCGAUUGACGUUACCCGCAGAAGAAGCACCGGCUAACUCCGUGCCAGCAGCCGCGGUAAUACGGAGGGUGCAAGCGUUAAUCGGAAUUACUGGGCGUAAAGCGCACGCAGGCGGUCUGUCAAGUCGGAUGUGAAAUCCCCGGGCUCAACCUGGGAACUGCAUUCGAAACUGGCAGGCUAGAGUCUUGUAGAGGGGGGUAGAAUUCCAGGUGUAGCGGUGAAAUGCGUAGAGAUCUGGAGGAAUACCGGUGGCGAAGGCGGCCCCCUGGACAAAGACUGACGCUCAGGUGCGAAAGCGUGGGGAGCAAACAGGAUUAGAUACCCUGGUAGUCCACGCCGUAAACGAUGUCGAUUUGGAGGUUGUGCCCUUGAGGCGUGGCUUCCGGAGCUAACGCGUUAAAUCGACCGCCUGGGGAGUACGGCCGCAAGGUUAAAACUCAAAUGAAUUGACGGGGGCCCGCACAAGCGGUGGAGCAUGUGGUUUAAUUCGAUGCAACGCGAAGAACCUUACCUGGUCUUGACAUCCACAGAACUUAGCAGAGAUGCUUUGGUGCCUUCGGGAACUGUGAGACAGGUGCUGCAUGGCUGUCGUCAGCUCGUGUUGUGAAAUGUUGGGUUAAGUCCCGCAACGAGCGCAACCCUUAUCCUUUGUUGCCAGCGGUUCGGCCGGGAACUCAAAGGAGACUGCCAGUGAUAAACUGGAGGAAGGUGGGGAUGACGUCAAGUCAUCAUGGCCCUUACGACCAGGGCUACACACGUGCUACAAUGGCAUAUACAAAGAGAAGCGACCUCGCGAGAGCAAGCGGACCUCAUAAAGUAUGUCGUAGUCCGGAUUGGAGUCUGCAACUCGACUCCAUGAAGUCGGAAUCGCUAGUAAUCGUAGAUCAGAAUGCUACGGUGAAUACGUUCCCGGGCCUUGUACACACCGCCCGUCACACCAUGGGAGUGGGUUGCAAAAGAAGUAGGUAGCUUAACCUUCGGGAGGGCGCUUACCACUUUGUGAUUCAUGACUGGGGUGAAGUCGUAACAAGGUAACCGUAGGGGAACCUGCGGUUGGAUCACCU